rnacentral:rRNA from 1 species
CGUAGGGGCCUAGCGUUGUCCGGAUUUAUUGGGCGUAAAGAGCUCGUAGGCGGUUCGGUAAGUCAGGUGUGAAAUCUCCACGCUCAACGUGGAGGCGCCACCUGAAACUGCCGUGACUCGAGUCCGGUAGGGGAGUGUGGAAUUCCUGGUGUAGCGGUGAAAUGCGCAGAUAUCAGGAGGAACACCAGUGGCGAAGGCGGCACUCUGGGCCUGUACUGACGCUGAGGAGCGAAAGCGUGGGGAGCGAACAGGAUUAGAUACCCUGGUAGUCCACGCCGUAAACGUUGGGCACUAGGUGUGGGACUCUAUCGACGGGUUCCGUGCCGUAGCUAACGCAUUAAGUGCCCCGCCUGGGGAGUACGGCCGCAAGGCUA